AACUGGGGCAUAGACACAGGGCUGUGUUAUGCAAAGAAACUUUUGUUUUAGAGUCCACCCAGAUGUCUGUGGUCCUGAGAGCACGUGGAGCAGAAGGAUCGGAAAGGAAUAUAAGGAAGUGAUAAAUGGAGGACUUCAAAUGGCAUUGGAACUGGAUUGCUGACACGUUUUGGCAUGCUGUUUGCAGAGCACACACCAAAAGAAAUAUCUGUGUACCUUCGCAGUACAGUGGAGAUCUGCACACUUACAGGAGCAGAAGAGAAGAGGAUGCCUGCCACCUCCUCAACUAAAGUAGCCUGAUAUGGCCAUAAAGAAGAAGAAUUUGAGGAAGACGUGAAAGAUUUAGGAAAGAUGGAGAAGUCAUUGUAUAUUAGGACUACUCGGGGAACUUUAUUUACUAGUGAAUUACCCCACCUUUCUCAUA
rnacentral:lncRNA from 1 species